rnacentral:rRNA from 1 species
GAGACAGCAGCCGCCACGGUAAAACGAAGGGGGCUAGCGUUGUUCGGAUUUACUGGGCGUAAAGGGCGCGUAGGCGGACUGAUAAGUCAGGGGUGAAAUCCCAAGGCUCAACCUUGGAACUGCCUUUGAUACUGUUUGUCUUGAGUUCGAGAGAGGUAAGUGGAACUGCGAGUGUAGAGGUGAAAUUCGUAGAUAUUCGCAAGAACACCAGUGGCGAAGGCGGCUUACUGGCUCGAAACUGACGCUGAAGCGCGAAAGCGUGGGGAGCAAACAGGAUUAGAUACCCCAGUAGUCCCUGUCUCUUAUAC